CCUACGGGUGGCAGCAGUGGGGAAUAUUGCACAAUGGGGGAAACCCUGAUGCAGCGACGCCGCGUGAGUGAAGAAGUAUUUCGGUAUGUAAAGCUCUAUCAGCAGGGAAGAAAAUGACGUUACCUGAUUAAGAAGCCCCGGCUAACUACGUACCAGCAGCCGCGGUCAUACGUAGGGGGCAAGCGUUAUCCGGAUUUAUGGGGUUAAAAGGGUGCGCAGGCGGGGGUGCAAGUCAGCGGUCAAAGUGCGGGGCUCAACCCCGUACUGCCGUUGAAACUGCAUCCCUUGAGUGCGCGAGAAGUAUGCGGAAUGCGUGGUGUAGCGGUGAAAUGCAUAGAUAUCACGCAGAACUCCGAUGGCGAAGGCAGCAUACCGGCGCGCAACUGACGCUCAUGCACGAAAGCGUGGGUAGCGAACAGGAUUAGAUACCCGAGUAGUC
rnacentral:rRNA from 1 species